rnacentral:rRNA from 1 species
GAUGAACGCUGGCGGCGUGCCUAAUACAUGCAAGUCGAGCGAACAGUCGAGGAGCUUGCUCCUCUGACGUUAGCGGCGGACGGGUGAGUAACACGUGGAUAACCUACCUAUAAGACUGGGAUAACUUCGGGAAACCGGAGCUAAUACCGGAUAACAUGUUGAACCGCAUGGUUCAACAGUGAAAGACGGUCUUGCUGUCACUUAUAGAUGGAUCCGCGCCGCAUUAGCUAGUUGGUAAGGUAACGGCUUACCAAGGCAACGAUGCGUAGCCGACCUGAGAGGGUGAUCGGCCACACUGGAACUGAGACACGGUCCAGGCUCCUACGGGAGGCAGCAGUAGGGAAUCUUCCGCAAUGGGCGAAAGCCUGACGGAGCAACGCCACGUGAGUGAAGAAGGUCUUCGGAUCGUAAAACUCUGUUAUUAGGGAAGAACAAAUGUGUAAGUAACUAUGCACGUCUUGACGGUACCUAAUCAGAAAGCCACGGCUAACUACGUG